GUGGAGUGAGAGGGAAGGGGUUAAGGCCUCCCACCCGGACCACAAGGGACAGUAUGGGAUAGGAGAGCCCAGCAUGGGGAGCUGCCAUUUUAUCUUAUGCUCCUUAUGUUACGGGUUUUUUAACCAUGUUCUGCUCUACUUUAAGGCUGCAUGGAGCCAACAUCAUAGGACACAGUGCAGUCUCAAGCAGUUUUAGCCCCUUCUCAUGGACGGCAUGCUGACAGACCAGACUUUCACAGGGCUUCACCCCAGCCCUAAAGGCAGAUGACAUCAAGGCCAGUGGUGCUGGGUGGUUCAGCUUUCUGUGCUCAACACCUGAGAAGGUGGAUGGACACUUGCUCUACACCCCUAAGGGCGUAUUAGUAGUCCUGAAAUUAAACCUAAAUUUGAGUCCACAACACCUGGUCUCCCCCAAAACAGCCAGUAGAAAACUUUGAGUUUUCUACUCAUGUGUGACAUCAACAUCCAACAGAAUAAAGCCAUGUAGGCAGGGCGGUUAUUUAAGAGAAAAGAGACAGACUACGCGACAAGGAGUAGGGCAUAAAAUCAAUUCAUCUUAACUCCGGAACAGCAAAGGGGUCAAAACAUCACUCCUGCAGAAUCCUCCUGGGGUCUGAUUCUGGUCUACUUGCCGUGGGGGCUUUGAACACUGCCCCGGGGGAAACCAGUUUUGUGGAGCCCUUAAGAGCCUACGGAGUUACAAGCAACUGGCAUGUUAGGAGGCAACAAACCAUUUAGUACUUGCACAUCAAGCUGCACACAGGACGUGUGAGGAGCCUGGCUGAGCACAGGGCAGGAGCACAGAGAAGGCUCUGAGGCCUGACACCUGGGAGGCUGGAAGCACCCCAGCCCCCACCCACCAGCUGCCUUCUGCUGCAGAACUCAAGGCCACACUUCAGGGGCGGGAGUGGGGCUGGUGCUGAGACAGAGGCUGCCUGGAUGUGUUCAGGAGAACUGUCAUCAUUUGACCAUAUGUCACAUUUUUUAAAAGUGAUCAAUACUGCUUCUCUGGCUGCCUCAAAUUACCAGUCCCAGUUUAAGCAAAGGUCCAAACAGCCUGACUCCACGCACCAGCUGGCAGAGUGCCACUCUGCCUGAACCUAGUCUGGAUUUGUCUAAUUCAACAAAACAAAACCUUCCCACUGACCAAUCAAAAGAGAUUCUCAAAGUCUCUGACUGGCAGGGUGCAAAAGCCCCCAGGGAGGCUAUUCUUGUCCUGGGCAGGCUGCCCACCGCACAGUGACAAGGUGACCAAGCAACUUCCAGGAAGGCUACUAAGGGACUAGGUACAAAAAAGGGGCCUCCUGUUUUUAUUAUGAAUGAACUGAAAACAGAAUUCAAUAAACAACAAAGAAGCAAGAGAAUGAGGCAAAGCAGAGGGAUCCUGGUGGCGAGCAAGGGCCAGGCACGGUACUUACUACGGCAACAGAUUCUCUGCAGAGGCACACAACACAUGGAGAGAGCAGUUCAAAGUGCUGAUGCUGUGAGCCUCCCUCAUCAACAGAAGCCUGCUCACCCUCCUGGGCCUUCCAGGGCACACUCCAAGAAAGCAGGAGUGUGCUUUCGUCAAACAGGACGAUGGGAGGUGACUAUGACUGGGCUGAUCACAGCCCCAAGGGUUAACGUGUUUGAAUCCGAAUUUCAGAAUAAUUUAACCAAUUCUAGAUGUAAAUGUAAUUUCUUUUUAUAUUCCAAGGACAAUGUGCCAAAGCUGACCCCACAGCGGACUGUGACUGGUGACCUCAGUGACCCGUGGCCUGCCCUGUCCCCUGUGAGGGAGGAGUGGCUCCCUCUCUGCCCAGCCACUCCUUGAUAAGCACCCCAAAGGACCCAAGACCCUCACCCUACUCAACCCCCUCAGUGGCCAUAACCUUACCAUCAUGUUUGUUUUAAUCUCUGAGGUGGGGAGCUUCCUACCAAUAAUUUAAACUUGGCAAGCUGACAUUUAUUUUUAUUUUCUAGAGUGAAAAAUGCUGCUAUGAACCAGAGGAAAAAAUGCAAGCACCAGCCAGGCAUGGUGGCUCAUGCCUAUAGUCCCGGCUACUUGAGAAGUUGAGGCAGGAGGAUCACCUGAGCCCCAAAGUUUGAGGCUGCUGCUGAUGACACCCCAGCACUCUACCAAGGGCACAAAGCCAAGUGUGGUGGCUCACGCCUGUAAUCCUAACACUCUGGGAGGCCGAGUUCAAGACCCACGAGUUCAAGACCCACCUGAUCAAAAUCGAGACUCCUGUCUCUACUAAAAACAGAAAAACUGAGGCAAGAAGAUCACUUGACCCCGAGUUGGAGGUUACUGUGAGCUAUGAUGCCACAGCACUCUAUCCAGGGCAACAGCUUAAGACUCUGUCUCAAAAAAAUAAAAAUAAAAAUAAAAUUUUCCUAAUAGCUUACCAUCAUUCAUCCCAUAUUCUAGAAAAACAGCUAUAAUUACCCUUCUAAACUCACCAGGCUGAGUUUAGAAGUUUAGAAGAUUCCACUCUAAUGGGCGACCUGCCUUCCUAGCAGCCCUGAGUUGGCCGCUACCUGCCUGAAACCAAGUGUCUAUGGAAAACCACUGUCAUGUCUACCUGUGUGAACAAAUGGCCUUAGCUAGGAAAAGGAGCUGACCUUGAACAAGACAGCCUGACUUUUACCUACCAGAGCAGCUGCCUGCUGACUCCAAGGCUGACACUCCAUGGUGAAGGUGACAUACUCCUGACCAAGCCAGGACUUGGUCAGGAGCCCGUUACCUUCUGAGCGUGUUACACAAAAUCUUGUGCCUGGGGAGCUGCUCAGUCUGGGAGCCCUGCUCCACCUAGUGGGCACAGGCAUGCCCACUGUGUGCAUGCACAGCCCCCCCCAUACAAUGUCACAGCUUGGCAAUGAUGAGUGUUGAUGAACCACCCAAAUCUCUUCUCAAGGACACUUUCACAGAAAUACUGAAUAUGUAAGAGAGAUACAUUCCUGUUAAAAAUAACAGACCCAGGUACAGUAGCACAUGCCUAUAAUGGUAGCUCUCUCAGAGGCCAAAGUGGGAGGAUUGCUUGAGGCCAGAAGUUAGAGACCAGCCUGAGCAAAAGCGAGACACCCCCACCCCACCCCAAUCUCUACAAAAAAUAGAAAAAUUAGCCAGGCAUCAUGGCAGGUGCCUGUAGGCUCAGCUACUCAGGAGGCUGAAGCAGGAGGAUUGCCUGAGCCCAGGAAUUUGAGGUUGCUCUGAGUUAUGAUGAUACCACUGCACUCUAGCCAGGGCGACAUGACAAAAGACUGUCUUUUUUUAAAAAGAAUUCAGGCUGACUUUCCCAGUAACUAAUCCAAAUUCGUGAAUCCUUCUGUGAAUGUUCUAAUCACUCCAUGUGGACAGAAAGCUGCUGACAGGAGGACCAGUGUCCGUCCCUACAACCCAAGCCCUGUGGGUGCCAUGAAAGCCCCUCCCUCUGUCCAUUCAGCAGCCUUCACUGCAGCAGCUGGGAAGCGUCCCUGACUGAGCACAUGUUCCUGUCCCCCCAAGUCUUACUACAGUACACAGAUGCCUGGGAGCCCUGUUGUCACCUACUACACACGUCCCUCUGGCUCUUGCCCGAAUGACUAAGUUGAGGAUGUGCACUAACAUGCUGGUCUUAAGUAAAUAUGAGGUUUGUCUUUGACACACAUGGGCUAGCGCCUAGACCACAGAGAAGUCCCUGACCAUUUUUUCUUGCCUUGUGGAGUUGCCCCGUGCCCAGGACUCUGG